AGUGAACGCUGGCGGUAGGCCUAACACAUGCAAGUCGAACGGCAGCACAGUAAGAGCUUGCUCUUACGGGUGGCGAGUGGCGGACGGGUGAGGAAUACAUCGGAAUCUACUUUUUCGUGGGGGAUAACGUAGGGAAACUUACGCUAAUACCGCAUACGACCUACGGGUGAAAGCAGGGGAUCUUCGGACCUUGCGCGAUUGAAUGAGCCGAUGUCGGAUUAGCUAGUUGGCGGGGUAAAGGCCCACCAAGGCGACGAUCCGUAGCUGGUCUGAGCGGAUGAUCAGCCACACUGGAACUGAGGCACGGUCCAGACUCCUACGGGAGGCAGCAGUGGGGAAUAUUGGACAAUGGGCGCAAGCCUGAUCCAGCCAUACCGCGUGGGUGAAGAAGGCCUUCGGGUUGUAAAGCCCUUUUGUUGGGAAAGAAAAGCAGCAGGUUAAUACCCCGCUGUUCUGACGGUACCCAAAGAAUAAGCACCGGCUAACUUCGUG
rnacentral:rRNA from 1 species